rnacentral:rRNA from 1 species
GACGAACGCUGGCGGCGUGCUUAACACAUGCAAGUCGAACGGAAAGGCCCUGCUUUUGUGGGGUGCUCGAGUGGCGAACGGGUGAGUAACACGUGAGUAACCUGCCCUUGACUUUGGGAUAACUUCAGGAAACUGGGGCUAAUACCGGAUAGGAGCUCCUGCUGCAUGGGGGGGGCUGGAAAGUUUCGGCGGUUGGGGAUGGACUCGCGGCUUAUCAGCUUGUUGGUGGGGUAGUGGCUUACCAAGGCUUUGACGGGUAGCCGGCCUGAGAGGGUGACCGGCCACAUUGGGACUGGGAUACGGCCCAGACUCCUACGGGAGGCAGCAGUGGGGAAUAUUGCACAAUGGGCGGAAGCCUGAUGCAGCAACGCCGCGUGCGGGAUGACGGCCUUCGGGUUGUAAACCGCUUUCGCCUGUGACGAAGCGUGAGUGACGGUAAUGGGUAAAGAAGCACCGGCUAACUACGUG